rnacentral:rRNA from 1 species
UACGGAGGAUCCGAGCGUUAUCCGGAUUUAUUGGGUUUAAAGGGUGCGUAGGCGGUUUGAUAAGUUAGAGGUGAAAGCUCGAUGCUCAACAUCGAAAUUGCCUCUGAUACUGUCAGACUAGAGUGUAGUUGCGGAAGGCGGAAUGUGUGGUGUAGCGGUGAAAUGCUUAGAUAUCACACAGAACACCGAUUGCGAAGGCAGCUUUCCAAGCUAUUACUGACGCUGAGGCACGAAAGCGUGGGUAGCGAACAGG